GUGCAAUUGAUGAAAAUAUUACAAGUGAUUGAAAAACUCAAAACAAUGAUCCCUUCAAACAUUAAAAAGUUAAAUCAUGAAAGUAUGUCAAAGCUAGUAAAACUAUAAUCAGUCUUAAAAUACAAAUUUAAAUAUCAAUAAGAUUUACAAAUCUAAUCAUGUAAUUAUCUUGCACCAAAAAAAUCUAAACAAACUAAAUACUCAUGGUCUCACCCAGGAUCCAUGUCCACAACAUGUUUGUAGUUGACAACUGACGAUCCACUAGCUUGAGAACAGGUGAGCCAGGGGGCCAGAGAAUGGUAUCAUAGAGAAACUCUCCUACAAUUGAGAAAGAAAUCAAUUAACUAGAGAAAAUUUUAAAAGUCCUAUUUAUUAAUUUUUUUGAUAAGUCAUCAUAUAAAAGGACACAAUUUUCUCAAGUUUAGAACCAUAUUUUCAUUAUCAUGACAAGACUAUUAAACUAACAAAACAUCCUUAAAGUUUACAUAUUUGGAUAAUGGAACUCUUUUUGUGGAACAAAGGGAGUAAUAUUCAAUAUUUUAUAAAUAUUUAUUUUCAGAAUAAAUAAUAUGAUUUUGUUCAUAUUUAGUGAUUUAAAUUAAAAACACUAUAAAAUAUUUGUCAAAAACAAAUACAGGAGAAAUAAUAAUCCACUACCUAUCAAGCACCACUACAGCUACCUCUUGCUGACUGACUCCAUGAAAACCAAAAAUCAAUUUGCUCAUCAUACCAAGUUACCUUCUGAGAUGCCUCACUGUUUCAAUCCCAAGGUGACCUAUCAAAAAUAGACCAUAAUGUAAGUUGGAAAAUCACAUUACUUUGUUAACAUAUCCAUAAGAGGAAAAACUUUAGAUAUUUCUGAUAUAGAGCGGUUUAUCAUGAAUGAUGAAAUUGAAUGUUGAUAACCAACCUCGUGCCUAACCAAUUGACUACUGCAGUUAAGCCAGAGCAUAAUCCAAGCUUUUGUCUAGACAUUAGGGUUGAAAUAGCUGUUUUAAGUCCAAAAUUAGGACAUUCUCCAGCCUUUUAGUUGACAUGAAUCAGGUCUUACCAAGUAAGCUGUACAGCAAGAAGAAAAUUUUAGACAAGGAAUGAGAUGUAUCAAGGCAACUUAUCAUAUAAGAAUCAGCCAUAUAUCAAGUAAAUAGAUAAAUUGGUUGGGCCAGUUUAUGACAAGAUAUUGAUGGAGAAAUUCAACAUAACUAGUUUCUACCUACCAUGAAAUGUGGAAAAUGAGCUGGCCGAGGGAUGGAAGAAACAGCACCAGUCCGUCCCGUGAGGCAUAAAGAAGCAACUUCAGUUGUUCAAAAUUCUCCAAUGAACUCUAUAAAAGUAAAUUAAAAAGUAAAAUCAACACAUACCUAAUAGUGGGACAUAAUUCUGUUUGCAGUACCAUCCAUAGUGGAAUAAAAUAGUGCUAGUUUGGUCACAUUUGCUUCAUCUGUAAAUGCAAAACCCCUUGAGCUUUCAGGGCAAGGUGUACCAUUUCCUCUAAAAUCAAAAUCUAUUCUACAACUUGAUUGAUUCCCGGGCAAAACCAGCUAAUGAAGGGGCACUGGGAGCAUCAUCAUCAGCAAGCUUCUAAAUUUGCAGUCCUUGGCCACAUCAGCAAGCACAUUUGUUGGUUACAAACAAAACUCAACUCCACGACCACGAUAUCUCAACAAUAAAAUGAGAAAAUAAACAAAACCCAAAGAACUUCAUAUACAGAAUAAUAAUAAAGAAGAAAAAACCAAGCUGAUAACAUGCAAGUCAACUGGUCAAAGAUUAUUUUUUACAAUCUGCCUGCAUGUUGUCAGGAUUAUAGAAGAAUAUAGGCACACCAUAUAAGUCAACUGGUCAAAUAAUUUUUUUUACAAGACAGUUGAUCAGUUUAUACUCAAAUUUGAUACACUGGGAAAAUUGAUGAAUGCAUGAUAUAUCUCAUACUUAUCUAAGAAAUACAUAAAUAAAUUUGCAAUAUUAAAUAUAAUGUGUCAAAAAUUUGUACAUGUUGAAUCAAUCUCGAGGAGGAAUCGCUGGCAGGAUAACCAUCAAUUGAAAACAAUGAAGUUACAAAAGGACUUUGGUUAAAGAGAUAAUGACCCCGUAUGGCAUAGCUAGAUAUUAAAACAAUCGUACUUAAUCAUGAUUAUGACAAUUUGAUUAGUUUUUAUUUAUUUUGUCAGUGGAGAUGUGCAAUGGGUCAACCUUACCACAAACUACGCCCAUCAGCUAAGCCCAUAGUAAACUAUGUUUGGGUGGUCCCAAAGGAUACAAGUUGUUACAACCAGACUAUUGAAAACUGAUUAUGACAAUCAGAUUAUUGACAACUAAAUUAUUUAGGAUAUUAUAGAAAAUUCAAAAAAAUUAAUUAGAUGACUGCACAAUUUAUAGUGUGGCACCCUUUAAAAACUCCAAUUAUGCUUAUUGUGUGGCCAUUUCAGGCUAGGAUAAAGGAGUGUUGCAUCCGAUGUUAGUCACGUAAAAGGUGGAUAUAAAAAUUAGCUUAUAAAAAUUAACCCAUGUGAAACCCAUAUUGCCUUUUAGUUUUUGGUUUUCAUAUGGGUUCAUUUGCAGCCCCUAGUUGAGUUGCGUUGCAAUUCAGUACAGGCACGACAUAAUCCUGUGCACUCAAUUUCGAUAAGUAGAAAAAAACUGCACCAUGAUCAAGAAUACACUGCCCUAGAAAAAUGCAUCUCUAAUAUUGAAACGGAGGCUGUAUUAUACAAGCUGAUUACCUCAAACUUAUUAUCCCCUAACUCACCUAUUGUUUGUAGUUAAAUGCGUAAGUAGAAAGUGACCUCUAUGAUUUUACUUGAUUGAAAUCUGUGAAAACAGUGAAUGCAGCGAAAUCUAGUUUAGCUACUAUGCUGAGAUGUGUUGACCUCACUUUAAAUGGGAACUCUGCUAAUAAUAUAUACAAGUCAAAGGACAUCAUAGGCAAAGGAUCUUAGGAUUUCGAACUCCAUCUCUUCACUUAAAGAAUAAAUAAUAAAAAUUAAAUAUUUAAUGUAGUACUUAUACAGACUAAGAAAAACUAUUUUAUGUUUUUGUUUGGUGAAACUUAUAUUGUAUCACAUUAACUUCUAGUUUAACUAUAAGCUCGCAUAGUUGUGUUUAGCCAAUUUAUACAAAUAAUUUACAAUAAAACAUAUAAUAAUAUGCUUAAUCCAGAUAUUGCUUACAGAAUUACUCAGCUCAACUGAAACUUUUUAACCCAAACUAGUUGGGAGUAGGCUGCCAAAUUAGCCCUAUAUGAUAGCAAAAAAGUAUUAAAAAGAAAAACAAACAACAAGGCUUCACAUUGGUUCAUUUUAAUAAGAGAGAGCUAAUUAUUUAUAAUUAUAUCGCAACACCUGACUCAACAUUUAGGAGUUACGCAAUAAGUCAUAUGCAGAGUUUUUAAAAGGUAAAUAUCACACUAUAAAUUGUGCAGUCGUCUAAUUCUUUAAAAAUUUACUAGAAUAGCCUCUAAAUAAUUUAAUUGUCAAUAAUUUGAUUAUCAUAAUUAGAUUUUUCAUAUUCUAAUUGUUAAUAAUCAGCAUGUUAUCCUUUGGAGCCACCAAAACAGAGUUUACUAUGAACUUACUCGGCGUGCGUGAUUUGUGGGAUAUUGUGUGCUUCCGGUGGUAAGUUUAUUGCAUUUUGAGGAUUCAACGUGUUGGGUCGUGAUAUUUCUCCUAUUGGGCCGAAUGGAUUGGGCCUACUUAUUCAGUUAGUCCAUUGGAUCUUCACUAUUGGGUGUUGACAUUAUUGGGCCUAGUCAUUUUAUUAUCUUUGUUAAGUCCUUCUAAUAUCAGACCAAAUCAGUGGGUCGACCCAUCAGAUAUUUAAAUAUCUACAUCUUUGACUUGUGAUGAUGAAAAAGCAUGACAGUUGACCAAUCCUCCUGCCAUGCAUUAAUGUGGAUGGGAUCAUAACCGGCCGGCGGGAGAAAACAAUGGCCAAAAGCAGUAGAUAAACCUGAUAUAGUUGGCAGGGUCCAUCAGAUCAGAGGGGGUGUCAGGUAAUAGUGGGUGGCAUAAUAAUCCAAGCAAAAGUAAUAUAACUUAGCAAGGAAGCCAUCGUAUAGAGGUAUGUUCUCUCAUAUAUUGAUUACUCAUAUUCUCCCAUACACACGACUGAGAUUUUAAUUCUCUCAAUACACUAGACCAUAUAUUCCUCCAUUGUUAACCUUGUGAACACGUACUAAUUCUCACGCCUGAGCUAUCCCCCGACGGAACCGCCGUCAAGCUUUCGGUGUUGACUGUGUUUACUGUGCAGGAUCAGGACGUCUUACGUGAUUGGGACGUGGAGAAAGAUCUUGGCGUUAACACAACGUUAUAAAAAGUUAAAAACAAAUGAGCUUACAAAAUAAUAAGUUUGUCAUAAUCGGAUACUAUACGAGGACAUUAUAUCCUUAAUAAAUCCUUUUGCAACUUUAUUAUUUUGAAAGAAAACAAUGGCUAUUAUCUCCAGGCAUUCUUCCUCCAGAUUGAAUGAACAAAAAAUUGGAUACAUUAUAUAUAUAAAUAUUAUAAAUUUAUUUAUGUAUUUCGUAGAUAAGUCACUUCAAUUUUUAUUAGGAAACAACAGUUCUUCGGUAGAUUAGCGAAUUGCCGAACUCAUUCAAGAAUUCUUGGAUUCUUCUAGAUUUGGCAAGAUACUUCUGAAGGACUCUUCUGUAUUUUUUCUAGAUGAUAAAAAUUGAAUAUAUUACUAUACUAUUAUUAUAAUGUUUUAUAUACUAAUUCUAUAUAUUUUCUGUUUUUCUAAAUAGAAUUAGCAUAAAAAACUUUGUUUGUCUUGAACAUUUUAACAUUCUAUUAUGAAUUAUUAUUUAUUGGUACUGAAAUUUUAAUGUGUAUAUACAUACAAAUAUAUGUAAUCAUAUUUAUAUCUAUAUAUAAAUCUAUUUAAUAUUUGUAAACAUUUGCCGAAUCCCCAAAUCCCAAUUUCAGAUUUGCGAACUAUCGAAUACCCGUAUGACUUUUUAAAAACUUUUAUUAUAAAAUUUGAGUAUAAAUUGAUCUCUGUAAGAAAAUUUCGUUGACUAGUUGACCAAUAUGAUCCAUUGUGUAGAAUGUUGGGGUCUAACUUUGAAGUGUCUAAUCUUAGUUUUUAGAGGAUAACCACCAUAUUAGAUAGCAUGAUAACACGGUUAACACCAGUGCAACGUGGAACUCUAGUUAGCUACUUAAAUAAGAUAACAUGCUAAAACUCUGUGGAUCAGGCACUAGUCAAAAGUUAUGCAUCAAGUCAAUAAGAAAUCACUAACGUCAUUAAGACUAUGAAUUCUUCAGUGUGGUAUUUGAGAAGGACAGCUGAUACGAGUUCAUCACUACUGUAAACACACCUUUUUCUCGUUGUCUCGAUGCAAAGCCAUUUAAAAGUACUUAAUCCACUAAAGUCUAAACAGUCGGAUCCACUAGAAAACAAUGAAUAUAAGGCAUCUGAAGCCAUGAUUACCAUUUACAACUUAUCUACCUAAUUAUAUUAUGAUUAAUAUCUUAAAAUUUCUCUACAAUUGCCCACCCCCACAUUUGAAUGUAUUGAAGUUUAAUGGUACCAAAAAAAUCUCUAAAAUAUUUACCAAAAUGUUUCUCUAAUAGUCCCUCCUUCCCUCUGUAAACUGUAAUUGAACCUAAGAAGAUGUAACGUAAUUUAAGAAUUAUAUAUUGUAAAUAGUAGUGUCCACAAAGAUUUGAAUUGGAGCAAAAGCGAGUCAUAUAAUCUUAUUUAAAUGGGUUGCAGGGUCCAUAAUGCUUUGAAUUGAAAUAAAAUGAAGACGUUCAAUCAAUUUCAGACUUCCUACCAAGGCAACAAAAAAGGGAGGCAGCAUAUUUUACUUUAAUAAAAAUAUAUAAACGCGAAAUAAUAAGGUAGUGUUUGAUAAAACUGUGCAAUAAAAAUUUAUUAAAAUAGAGGCUCUGUUUAAAAUAGACUCUUUUUAAAACAGAGAUGAAAUGUAACAGAGUUGUUUGAUACAUCUUUUUUGUUUGUCUGAAUAUAACAUUUUACUAAUUUACCUUUAUAUCAGUUUAUACAAACUUAAAGUGAGGAUAAAAUUAUAAUAAAUAUUAAAUAAUUAAUUUAAACAAAAUCACCAAAAAUGUAUAACUAGUAAAAUAUAUCAAGUAUAAUAAACAUUAAAUAGUUAUGACAAUUUUACAUAAUUAUUAUAAAAUAUGCUAAUGGUGGUGGUGGAUGGUGGGCUAUGGUGGUGGCAGUGGUGAGCGGUAUGGUGGAUGAUGGUGGUGGUGAAUGGUGGUGGUGGUGGUGGGUGGUGGUGAUGUUGAUGGUGGGUGGUUGUGCCUGGUGGUGGAUUGUGGUCAUGGGUGAUCGUGGGUGAUGAUGGUGGUGGUGGCUGGUGUAGCGAGAGUAGUGAGUAAAUAAUUAAAAAUAUGAAAUUAAGAUAGUAAGAAUAAAUAGUAAUGAAGAGCCUCUUAUUCUAUUUUUCAAUGUUUUUUGAAUUUUUUUUUAUUAAACAAUAUAGCCUCUGUGCGAAAAAGAUAUAAGGCCAAAAAGAGGCAAUAAGAGGCUAUCAAACACUACCUAAGUCAUAUAACAACGUCACUACACUAAAAAGUUUCAACAUAAAAUGAAUUUUCUUUCCGCAUUUAUUUCACAUAUAUACUAUUUGAUAGGUUUUCAAAUUCGGUCAAAAGAAGGAAUUAUGAGAGAGAAAUGCAUCCCUAGGGCACUGUAGCACUCCUAAACCUAAAGACCCCAAAGAAGAUUAAAGGAAAAACUAGUACAAAGUCAUUCCUUAGGCCCCGAAAAAAAUAGCAUAUCCCCUUCUCACUUUAUUUACCUUCUACAAGAAAGAAAAACUAUAAUAUUUGGCUGUUUGUGCAAGUAAUUUGUACUAGAGUUUAUAGCUUAAAAUAACCCACUGUAGUGUUUAAUACAACUUACACAAAUAAGGUAUAAUCCUCAGGCUAAUCUGAGGGUGAUUGGCCAAUUAUGCAAUGAAUUCUCCAAACUUAAACGAAUACCAUAAAUCAAAUUUAUUGCUUAUUCUCACUUAAUUGCCCUCUUUAUUGUAAAAAUUAAUUGAGCUAAGCUUGGGAUGUAAAUAGUGAUGAAUAAUUAGGAAUGUGCGGGGAAGCAUAUCAAAAGUUUUAUAUGAAAAACAAUUAAAGUUUGUUCCCUCAUUUUUAUUUUUGCCUUCAACAAAUCUUGUUAAAAACCUAUGGAGUAUAAACUAUCUUAAGCUAUAAAACAAACACUAGUCGGAAAAAUUUACUAGUUAGUUCAUACCUAAAACAUACUCAAAAGCAGUGUUCUAAAAAGUGGCCUAAGCUAGGCCCCCCUGGCGCCUCGCCUAAGCCAAAAAAUCCCUCCAGAAAAUUAGGCGGGGCCUAGGCGGGCAGGCGGGCCUAGACGGAGAUAUUUUUUUAAUAACUACCCAAAUCAGAUCUUGAUACAUUUAUUUUUCUAAUGAUUUACUAUAUUCAUAAUGCAGGUUGUAGCAUAUCAAAUCACAACAAAAAGUUAACAAGAUCAAGUCAAAAUAUAUAAUUUUAUUAUAGUUGUAAUUUUUUGAACUUGUAUCAACUUCAAAUUAUAUAAAUGAUGAUACAUUUGUAAUAUUUAGUUUAAUUCAAUAUAAUUUUUAUGUUUUGUUUCUUAAAUUUUAUUAUUGAAUUGAAUUCUUGAAAUUUUAAAUUUUAUUAUUUAAUAGCAAUCUUGUUUAUGAAUAAAACUAAUACGUUAAAGAUAUGUGUUUGAACUUUAAGCAAAAGCCUUUAUUAUCUUUAUUAUAGAUUGUUUUGCUUUAUAUUAUUGUUUUGUUUGGAUAAAUAUAAGAUAAAAUAUUAAAAUUGGCUUAAAAUAAAAAAUUCCGCCUAGACCCCCUGGCGCUAGCCCCCAACGGCAUGCCUCCUGCCUCCUGCCUAACGCCUUUUAGAACAUUGCUCAAAAGAAAUUUUCAGUAUUACAUUAAGUUUAAUUUUUUUUGCAUACAUGUUGAAUCGAUCCAGAAGAGGAAUCACUCGUCGUUUCAUCUUUGAAGGGAUAAAUAGAAUAAAAUUAUUUGCGUUUCUUCUUUGAAGGAAUGAAUAGAAUAAAAUUCGGAUCGAUUUAAAUAAUAAAGGUACAAAAGGAAAAAGGAAAAAGGAUAAAGGUCUCAUUUAAUUCUACUGGAGAUUAUCAUAAUUAAAUUAUAAUAAUUUGAUUUUGAUUCUCAAGCCUCAUCAAAUAAGCAAAAAUGUGCAAAAGGAAAAGGCAAACAUAUAAAGGCCUUAUUUGAUGAGGCUCGAGAUUAUCAAAAUAAAUUAUGGUAGCCAUCAUAUGUUAUAAUCUGAUUAUGAUAAUCUCUAACUGCAUUAAAUGAGACCUUUGUCUCUUUUACCUUUUGUUUAGUACCUUCAUUAUUUAAAUCCAUUUGAAUUCCUCGAAAGAAGAAACCAAAAGAAUUUUGUUUUAUUCAUUCCUCCAAAGAAGAAACGAUGAGUGGUUCCUCUUUUAGCUCGAUUCAAAAGGUAUGCAGAAAUUUCAAAAUUGAUGUAAUAUUGAAUUUUUUCUUUCAAGUACUUUUUAGAUGUGUAAUAGUGAAAUUGAUCCGAUUGGUAUUUGUUUUAUAACUUAGGAUAGGUUAUGCUCAAAUAGAUUCUUAAAAAGAUUUGAUGAAGACACAAAAAGAAAAAUGAGGGAAAGGAUUUUCAUGAAAAUCUUUUAAUAUGUUUCAUCUCACAUUCCCAAUAAUUCAUCACUAUUUACAACAUAAGCUUAUUAGCUGACUUCAAUUCUUACAAGUUACAAAUAAGACAUAAAUUGAGUGAGAAGAAACAAUAAAUUUGAUUUUAGGGUAUUAUUGUAAGUUUGGAAAAUUCAUUGCAUAAUUACACAAGCUAUAAUGUUUAGAUUAACUUGAGGAUUAUAACUUGAAAACACAAAACAAAUAUGGUGCCCAAACAAGGUCAAUGUCUCCCUUAUUUCAUAAUCCUGUAGUUUUCUAACAUAGGGAAUGUCAAAAGUUUAUUCGAGCGCCAACUUCACCAAAAACUUUAAUGAAGAAUGCUUCCCAGAUAAACUUCAUGAAAAGCCCCCAAAAGAGAAGAUUUAACAUAGCCAACAUCAUUGUACAAGCAAAACUUUCCACCUUCAAAACACAGUUUGUUCCUCUCUCCAUUUUAAACACAUGAGAUGAUGAGUACCAGAUAUUUAUUGAAUUCUUACAUUGUAUUACUCAGCCACCCCUCAAGUUCAGUCAAUUUUGGUACCUUUUCCAUGGGUUUCUAUUCAUAAGACUGUUCAGCUCCCAUUUAACAAUCUGCUAGUAUCUCCCCNNNNNNNNNNNNNNNNNNNNNNNNNNNNNNNNNNNNNNNNNNNNNNNNNNNNNNNNNNNNNNNNNNNNNNNNNNNNNNNNNNNNNNNNNNNNNNNNNNNNUGGGCGCUUAAAUUGCAUUAGAAAAACAGCAUUGUUUACAAUCCACAUAGUGCCCAAAAUUCAUUCAUUUACACCGAUUGAAAGAGCCCAGAGGUCCUCCAAUACACUCCCCGACUCACUAACUGCCGUAGAAUUAGCAGAUUCAAUCCCGUAGCCUUUCCUACAACAGAUAUUUCAACAAGUGUAGAAGGUUUAUAUACAAUUCUUUCCCCUUUGUUCUUUUUAAAGUCUUUCUUUGCGCUUUUACAUAUUUCUACACCUUCAUUGUGUCUAGCAUCCUUGUACUCUGUAAUUUUAUUUUUAUGUUCCAUGUCAACUUUUUGCCAUGUAUAUAUAUACACCGGUUUUUUCUUAUUGUUAUUAUUAUUACAAUUUUGACUUCUUCAUUAAAGCACAAGUUUCGUUAUAGAACAGCAGUCUCCCCUUUCCCACGAUCUCAUGAUCCUGAGUUGAUACUAUUAUUUCACAUUACAUUAGUUUCUUAAUCCAAAUUCCAGAUAAUCUAAAUCACUGUUUCUAUUCAUUCCAACACCUGGCUUUCAUCUAUAAUCUCUUCAAAUGGCCAGAAGAGAUUUGAUUACAUACAUCUGAAACCAUUAAUCUAUUUCAAUUUCAGAUGUAUUAUUGAUCUACCUUGUUAGUCAAAUAGCAAGUCUCUUCUUAUCUUUGAAGUUAUUUUAUGUUUAUAACUUUACAUCAGCUUUUUAAAAUCAUUUACCAAAUAUCAUACUCCAGCAACUUACGCGCACACACACACAUAUAUAAUCGGAUCAGUAAUCUUCAAAUCCACAUCCAUAACGCAACCACUCACGCCUUUAACAAUUUUCACAUACUCAAACGCUCAAAACAUGUUAUUAUAAUUUCUUUUUCUGAACAAUUCAUUAGACAAGAAUAAAAAUAAGGCGUGUAUGACCAAAGCUAAAACUAAUACCCUAGAACGGAUUAAUAUCCAACUUCAAAGGGCAUCAGUUUGUCACAAUCGCAGAUCAUUCUCUGGUUAUGAACAAAAGGAACGUUCCAGAGAAAGCUGUAUGCGUACCUUCCAUUGAGGAUAAUAUUUGAAAUGUGAUUGUCCCUCUGUACAGGCUGAGGAAGCUUCAUCAUCUAUGUAAACUUUUUCAGCGGUCCAUGAGGAAUAACUCUUCUUCAUUAACCAAGUUGUCAUUGUAAACUUGUAACAUUUCACAUACCUCACCUGAGAGAAAGAAGGUUGAAAUUAGGACCGAUACAUUACCUUUUGCAAAUUUAAGUGAAAUUAAAUCGAGGGAAGAUGAAGAAUUCUUAAAUGUUCUCUAGGACUUGCAAUAGAUUAUUGGAAAAUCAAUUACUUCAGUUGAGCAUAUGGACUGCUCAGGUCAACUUCAUCUUGCUCACAAGGUCAAUCCUUUUAAAUAUAAAUAUUAAUUAGGUAAGUAACUGAAUAUAUGAUUCUUUCACACCUAUGCUUAAGUCUUGAUGCAAAUUCCCUUCCAUAGAACAGGUUCGUUAUACAUCAUUAAACUUACUCUUGUUUAGACACUAGCUUUUCCUUGCAAAUACUCUCACUCAUUUCCUAGCCUUGAUUUACAAUUCCAUAGUUUCUCAAACUGAGAAAACCAUAUGAUGAUUAAGAGAAAGAAGUUCAUGGAUGCAAAAAAAUUAAAUAUCUUCACCCAAGUCUUUGAGAUUUACAGUACCUCAAUAAUAAUAAAUACUAAUAAAGGGAAUGUAUUAUUUCUUGUAGGUUGCACAAAUAGUACGACCUCAGAUUGAAAAACCAGAAUGGUUCGAAAAUUUCCUACAACGGACUUUCUUCGAUCGUUGUAUAGCUCAUGAGCGCAGCAAGAACAGAUGCAACCAUUAUUGCAUCACUUGUGACACAUCAGCAUGUCAAUACUGCAUAUCGUCGGGCUUGCAUGGUGAACAUGAUAUAAUACAACUUUAUAGACAUCUCCAUCAAAAUGCUGUUCGCAUCACUGACAUGCAGAAAUAUUUCAGUUGUUCCAUGAUCCAGGUAAUUGAUUUUUAGGUUAAAAGACAUCAUUAUUUGAGGUUUUUCUGAACUUAUUUACUGCUCUUCAUUUUUUUAGUAUAUGAGUAGCUUCAGAUUAUGAAAAAUAUGAUAAUUUCAAAUAGAUUUUACAAGUUGAGUGCUUGUACACCUUGUCUAAAAACAAAAAAUAGACCUACCAAAAUUAUGCCAUUUCUAUUCUUUUAAUAGAUUUUAAAAGAAAGGAAAGAAAGAAACUCUUUCUGAAAGAACUCUAAAUAAGAAAGUAACUUACGAAAUUACAUAUUUAUCUGAAAAAGGUUUUCGAGACUCCCUGUUGUAAAAUGCCAAAUUACCUCACUCCAGCCCAACGCUUCCCUCACCAACCCCUGCUCCCCCGCUUUCCCCAGGCCACACCAAAAAAAGAGAAAGAAAUUAGAUCACAAUCCCAGAUAGGAUCUUAUCACCUAGACCUACUGCAGUCUGCAUACAACUGAUGUAGGAUUUUACCGCUUCCUUGCAUCCAUUUAAUUCAAUAUUUCCUCCACAAAUUAUCCAUAACAUUAUGUACGAAGGUUGAAAAAGAACUAUCCCAGAUAAUGCAGCUCCUUUAUUUGGUAGAUGGUUUCAGCUCCUAGACUGACUUAGUGACAUAUAGUAACAUGAAAUAUUAUCUAGUCAUUUCCUCAAGCUCCAAACUCGAUCAAUCGUCUUCUGAAUCUCAAUAGAUUCUUUUUCAUAAACUUCCACCAAAAUCCUCAAUCAUCUGAACCGAUCAUUUAAUCUUUUCCGGCUCAGAACUACCUGGACAUGGGCUUGGAGAUAGCAUGCGAGUGGUAAAGAUAGACAAUGGAAAUGUACCUGAAACAAUAUGGUCUACGAGAAAUCUCAGGUAAAAUAAGGUUUGAUGAUCUUAAAGGACUCUUAUGCGAAUUGUAAAAAUAGAAAAAGGACUAUAUGAGUACCGACUCUGUGAAACAAAUAUUUUAGGGUAAAAUGUAAUUUGGCCACCUGUGAUUUACACAUUUUUGUAAAUCAUCACCUGUGGUUAAAAAACCACCACUUAGCCACCUGUGGCUUAAAAAAAUUGCAAAGUCUCACUUUAGUGUUAACACCAUUAAAAGAAUGUGUUAAAGUACUAAAUGCCCUUCUUAACUCUUACUUUGCAUAUAACCACCUCAUUUGUUAUUUAUCUUGUUUUUUUCUCUCAAUUUUCACUAACUAGCUUCUAAAAUCAAACUAAGAAAAUCUUCUAUCAUCUCAGUCAAUCUUAAUUCAUUUGUAAUACAAAUCAACAUAAAUAAUAUUUAAUCUUUAAUGAUUCAUUACUAUAGUUAUUUUUUUACUAAAAUAUGAUCCCCAUCUUAAUUAAAGACAAUAUAUAUAUAUGUGUGUGUGUGUGUGUAUUACAUGUAUAUAUAGUAGGAGAUUCUUUUUCCUACGCGUUCGUAACUUCUCUCUCUACGACUCGGCUAUUAAUUUCAUGACUAAAUCUAAGCAUAUGAGGCUGCACACCUCUUGCAAAAACUACUAAAAACAAGGUUUUAUAGCUUCAUGUUUAACUUGCUACAACUUGAUUCAAUUAGUUGUCCAAGGCAUUACUUAGUUUAUCAUGCUUUAUGACUUACCAACUCUAACAUAUAUAAUCAUAACCCUAACAUGCAUACGUUCAUAAGUUCUAUCAUAAAAAAUUAUGAACGAACUAACAUACGAAAUAAACGAAUUCUAGGUUUACCUCUUGAAGUGUUAAGCUUUAUGAAUUCUUGAAUAACCAAGCCUCUUGAUUUCCCUCUCUCAAUUAUAAUUGUUCUUACUAUGGUAUUCUCUCACAAGCUUCUUAUUUUAUUGAACAAUAUUAAGGAAGGAUUGAGGGUUAUAUUUAUAGAAAACAUCUCACCAAGCAACCUUAGGCUCACAUAAGGCCACAUCUCCCUAAUCAACCUUAGGCUCACACAAGGUCACAUCUCACCAAUCAUCUACCAAGCUUAACCUAACUAGCAAACCCAUACAAAGUUGUCCAACAAGGCCAUGCAAUCCUAUAGCUAGCAAAGAGCCACAACUCACCAAGUAAAGCUUAACAACACUCAAGCUAAACAAGAUACAAUACUUACAAGCUAGGUAAGUAUUGCAAUCUUCCUAUAUGGCCAAAAGGCCCUCCCAACCUUGUCAAAUCUGGGCCCCCUUCCUCUGGUCCAAAUCCAACUUAGUUUGCUUCUAGUUCGAUUUGUAGUUAGCUUUCGUAACUCAUCCGAUUAGUCAAAAUGUUGACUUUGAUUUUUCGUACUUUUAAAUAUAAAUUGUGUAUUUAUACCCCGUAUAAAUACUAUGGCGUAAUACAAAAUGUCGUAAAUGCGGAAAGCGUUUUCUUCGUUUUUGUCGAAAAAAAUAUUUUUCUUCCACGAAUCAACGCCGCUUGAUUCCCUCGCAUAACACAUGGAUUAGGUCACUAAAUCAACCUUUAUUAAAUCUUUUAAGAUCGUAAUUACAAUCCUUAAGAAUAUUCUGGAUAUCACAUUAUUUAUUUUACACCAAUUUUUUUCUACUCAUAUCUUUUCUUUAUUUUUAGUUGGAAAAAUAUUAUUUAAAAAAGUAUAAUUAUAUCAUGACUUGUGCAAGACAAUCUCAUUUUGUUGAGUUUUACAUUUCUAACUGUACCUUAUAAAACACAUUAUUGAAUUGUUUAAACUAAAUGACGAAAAAGUUAUGUGGACAUAUAGAAUAUUUUAGUAAUAUUAGUCAUAUUAUAUAUAUAUAGUAGAUUGAGGCUUGUAAGACAGUUGAUUGAUUUUCUAAAUUAUUGGGAGGAGAAGAAACAGUAAUGCUUGGACAAAACAUUUUUGUCUCUAUACUUUAAAACUAAUAGAACCUUACCCUUGCCUUGUGUCUCAAAAGAGCGACGUAAUUUCCCAUUCAGUCGAAAACCUAAGAUGAGGGGAAUAAGCAAAGGCCACUGUUCAAAGAGGUGAUGGAGUUGGGUUGGGGAAAGAUCAGCCACUACCUUUUCUACGAUCUUGUCCGAUAUUUCUUUUUUUUGAAAAGAAAAUUCUUUUGUUCCAGCAGCUCCCCCACCAAGAGAUUCAGGUGCUGAAAGAGAUGCCCUUUUCAGGGAUGCCGAAGGAAGGGUAUCGGGGAGAAAAGGAGCCUUUCUUUAGGCCACUCCAUUCACAGCUGAUAGUACAGCCAUCAAUGUAGAACAAAGCCCAACCUUAUGGAGCAAGGAAGAAGAAAUGGUUUAAAUAGUCUAAUUUCCACUGAAGUGAGAAGAUGCAUGAGCUUUAUUGUUAUUAGUCUUAAUGCACAUAUUGUGUGUGUAAGCAUCCCAACUUAAACAUUGUAUCUCACUGGUAAACCCUAUUAUUAACCUUUUGCUAGUAAAAUCAAUUAAAUUUAUUAAAAAAUGAAGCUACUUAAAAUGUUAAUAUAAUUGAAUAACAAGAGGUCCGUGAAGAUAAAUUAACAUUUUGAUGUAUUUUUGUAAUUGUUCAAUCUUAUGAAUAACAAAAUUAGUUUUUUUUUUAUAGUUUACAUCUUAUAUUUACCAUAUUUUUACUUUUAAUAGAUUUUUUAUUUAUUAAUUUUUGAACAACAUAUUUUUUUAAUAUAUAUAUAUAUAUAUAUAUAUAUCUUGGUAAUAAAUUUUUUAUCCAAAUACAUAAUAAUCAAUUAGACACUCCAAAAACUUCAUAGGAUGUAUUUUUGUACAUAUUUUAGUAGAAAAUUGGUGAAAAUGAGAGGAAAAAAAACAAAUAAUAAGUGAACUACUUGCAUCAUAAAUAUGGGUUAAGGAGGGCAUUUUUGUCAUUUGCAUAGGGAAUCUAGUUGUUGGACAGCUCAUCCACUUGCUAAAAGUUCACUCUCCAUAAACUGGAUGGAAAAAUUAACUGUUGCACUUUUUUUCAAACCUCAGGUGAUUAAGUGGUGGUUUUUAGGUGGUGAUUUGCAGAAGUGUGUAAACCAUAGGUAGUGAAUUAAAUUUUACCCAAUAUUUUAAUAUGAGGACAAGGACACAAUCAGAUAGCAGGACAGUACACUAAAUGUCUAACAGCAAUAAGUCAAAUGAUAAGAUGAUCAUUAAUUUUAAUAUUAAAAGUUCUCGUCGUAUCAAAUUGCUAAGAUGACAUUAAAAAAUGAAUACUAUGCAAAUAUAAUAAAAUUACCUCCACAACAUAUAUAUACCUUUCUUUUUAUAUUAUGACAAUGGGUAGAAGGGGACACAGAACCAACCUCAAACCCUAAAAGGAAAGGCCAUAGUAGAUAUAUAAUACUGCUUCGACUUGGGCUAUAAGUACGGCCAUAAAUAAGACCACACUUAUAGAAUAGUGCCUCCACUGAGGCUAGCAAAGAAUGCCUCCACUGAAGUACCAUUUGAGCUAUAGCCAGGGGCGGAUCUGCUUUGGAGCCGGCUGUGGCAAUUGCCAUAACUAGAUUUUAGGGGAAAAAAUAAAUUAUAUAGUAUACAUAUUAUUUCCAAAAAUAAAUAGUUAAAAUAUAUAUAUUUUUCAUAUGUAUGGUAUGUUAAAUAUUGAUUGAAUUAACUUUAAAACUCAUUCCCUGCAUGAUUUAAGAAAUCUUAUAUAUUGAAAUCGAUCACUUAGCAUAUAUUUGUUGGACUGUUUCAAAAAAAGAAAAAGAAACACCUAAAAAAUAAAUUCUAUUAAGCUAGGAAUCAUGUUUAUUUUCUUUUAUCUAUUUAUUUCCUUGUAAUAUAUAUCUCUAUAUUAUAUGUAAUUGAAAACAAGUGAAAAUCAUUUGGAUGUAAUUUAUGCAAUAUUGAUAAAUUAUUUUAUGCAACAUGAUUUAUUUAAUAUUAAUAAAUAAUAUAAAGUCAUUUGAAUUAUAUAAAAAAUUGCAUGUUCUCAUAUUUUUGCAUGCUUUUUGCAUUCUUACAAUUGAAUUGUUCAGUGAAAAUCAAAAUUACGUUCUAUUUGAAAUUAUAUUAGGUCAACCGUAGAAACCUUUUACCAAAUAUAUAUAGUUCUAUUUUUAAUGUAUUCGCGAUAAUUUUUUAGAAAAAAUUAUAUUGACAUAACUGAACAAAUAUUCUAGAUCCACCCCUGGCCAGAGCUCCUUCCUAGAAAAUAUAUGCAUCAAACUUUAGUAAUUACAAAUACUAGUGAAGUCAUAUUACAUUUUGAAAAAAAUCAUCAAAUAAUUGCAUGCUAUACCAAUUGUACCCAAAAAACAUACCAAAGUAUAACAUUAAUGGAUUGAGAAGAGUCUGUAAUGAUUAGUAUUUUUGAAACAAAUAGGAGUAAAUAAAUUUUAUGAUACAUCAAAUAAUAUCAUUGUAAUAACCUAUUUUUUUUUAUAUAAUUAAAUAUUAAUUAAUUUUAUCUUAUACAAUUGUGUUUAAAUGGAAAAAGGUAAAUGAUUUUGUUUCCUUCUUUUCUUCCUUGUUUUGUUUGGAAAAUUAAAUUCUUUUAGUAGAUAAUUAAAUAACUGAUUAAAUUAAAAUUUGAGGAAGAUAAUUCCUUUUGUUAAAGUCUUGUGGUAAAAUUAUUCGGAGCGGGAAGCUACUUGGGAGAUACAGGAGUCUAUUCGAGCGGAGUAUUUGCAUCUUUUUGAUAAUUAGGUAUUUUCAUUUUUUUGAUUCCGGGGACGGAAUCCUUUUUAAGGGGGAGGUAAUGUAAUAUCCUGAAAAAAUAAUAAUAAAAUAAUAUUAAAUUUAUAUUCUUAAAACAUAUUGUUUGGAACUUGUCAUUUAUUUGGGUCAAACUAGUUAUUUAAAUUAUGUGGGCUAAUAAAUAUUAAUAAGUGAUAGAUAAUAUUAUGUGGUUAAAAUUUGGGCCUUAAUAUUAAUUUAACCCAAAUAGAAGUUUAUUAGGGCAAACCUAAUUAAUAAAUAGCUAAACCUAAUAUUACUUCAUUAUACAAACUGAAUAAGAAGAGGUGGCUACUUUGGAGAUAAAGGGAACAGCUACAAAGGGGGCUCAGGUGAAGAAAGACUAGAGAUUUUGAUCACUAGUGGGGAAAUUUCAUCAGUAAUAAGUAAGUAUAUUAUACAUUAUAUAAAGUGGGGAUAAAUCACGUGGUUCCAUAUUAAAUUAUUAAAUUUAGUAUGUUUUUUUUUUCAUCAUGAGCAAGUACUUUUGUAAUUCAAGAACUAAGAGCGAUCUUUAAAGAUGGGAGAGUUUAUUUAUUAAUGUAAUACUUAUACGGAUGUACUUAUUAUUAUUAUCACUUUAUUCCAAUCAGAUUGAACGGAGGGAGUAGUCUGUGAUUGAUUUUGGAGAUCCUAAAAUAAUAAAUUGAUGAUUUUUUUAAAUAAAAAUAUAUAUAUAGCAGUAGUAAUUAAAGUUUACGAAAACUUGCAUAAUUUGCAAGAGAUGUUAUACAAAUAAAUAUGUAAGAUUAUAUGGAAUGAAUUAAAUCUUAAUAUUAUAAGUAAUUAUAUUUUAUAGUCGUACCAAAUAGAAGUGUUCAUAUUUUUAUAAAUGUACUUACAUUUAGUAUUAUUAAUUUGUGUAAUUAGUUCGGACGGAAGGAACUUAAAGAGUUAUAUUUGGAAUAUAAAUUUUGGAGUAUUAAUAAUUGAUAUAAGGCGAUGAUUAAAGGCAUAUUAAAUAGAUUAUGAAUUAUUUUGGAAUUAUUGAAUUGGAUUAUAUUUAAUUUGAGGUGAAUAUGUUUAGGUGAUGAAUAACGUUUCGUAUUUGAUAUCGUUGGCAUUUGAGGGUAAGAUUUUGUGGAGUGUGCUAUAAAUGGUUUGGAAGUAUCAGGUACGGAUUCCGUACUCUUUCAGCGAUACUCUUGUUAAAUUUGAUUUGUUCGUUUGUUUCCUUAUUUCGAAUUAUGUUAUGAUUUCACAUAAUUGUUUCAUGUGAAAUAAAUAUAUUAGUUUCAUUUUGGAGUUGAUACACAUGACUCGUAUUUGUACUCUUUGAAUUAGGAUAUCAUGUUUAGUAUUUAUUUUUGAUAAUUGUAGAGCGGUACAUGUUGCUACCUUCUUUUUGAGACCUUGUGACUAUAAUUUGAUUUGGUUCAACAUGUACAUAUAGAACCCUUUUGUUGGUAUUAUGUCGCAUGUGUUGUGACAUGAUAUUUUUGUUAGAAUAUACCGUAGGGUAUACCUGAGCUAUAACCACCUGUGGGGGUACCACAGGCAUGUCGUCUUGGCACGAGAGACAUGACACUUUCCGUGGCGGUGUGAUUAGUCCACGGCGUCUCCAUUUUGGGCUCCGGAGGAAGUGGGCCAUUUGGUGUUUUGUUGUGGGAGGCGUAUGGGUUAACCCUAGUUUUCUGUUCUGCGGAUUUGUGAUGUUGUGCCAAACACACCUAUCCGAUUUGCAUACAUUUGGAUUCGCGGUCCAAUGUGUGAUUUGCCUGUGUGGCAUUAUUUUGGUUGCCUGUGUGGCAUUAUUUUGAAUGUGUGGCAAUGUGUAUAAAAUAACUCCAGCCAUUCGGUAUAAAAUAAUUCCAGCCAUUUGUUUCAGCCUAUUAUUUUAUUGGAUUAGUUUUGUUGGUUUCUGUUCAGUUCAAGUCAUUGAGUUAGUUACUUCAGUUCGUUAUUUCUUUAUUCUUUUAUUGGUUUCGUCAAUUACGUUGAUUCAGAUAUAUUCAUUACGUUGAUUCAGAUAUAUUCCAUUCAAAUCUUUGGAUAUUAUAUUUUCGUUCGUAUUUGCACUUGAGGCUUUGUUCAGUAUUUUGUCUCAGUUAUUUUCGUAUAUCAGUUGUAUAUCUUUUGUAUAUCUGUAUCCGUACUGGGCAAUUGGCUCAUGCUGUGUUUUUCUUCCGGCAGGUUUGCAGGGGUGAUUCAGGGCUAGUGUGAUGAGAUUUUUGCCUUUGACCAUUUAGGUUGAUUCGAAUUUUAAGUUUUGAUUAUUUUGACUCAGUUUGGAGAAUUGUACUUAUUACUUUAUUAAUGAAUCACCACUAUUAAUAUUUUGAGGUUGUUAGUGCUCUGUUUAUUUAUUUUGAGGUUUGUUGUGCUUUGCACGUGACCUCCCUUUCCUUUUCGGGAAGGGGGUGUUACAGAGAUGGUAUCAGAGCUUAGGUUCUUUCUUGUAGAAAACCUAUUUAGGUUUGACCUGUGAGUUGUGGGUAAAUCACUGGGUAGACAUAGGAGUUUGAAUUGAUUUUGUUCUCUGUUUGGUUGGUCUUAUUCUGACCAAGUGUUUUUUUAGUUCUUUGAGUUAUAGUUGAUUUGAGAAAGGCGAGAUAAUUUGUUAAGAUUAUUAUUGUUAUGCGUUGGAACAAUAAUAUUAGUUAAGGAUUGUGAUUGGAUUAUUAAGGAGAAUAAUAUCAUAUUUUGUUCAGUUAAGAAAUGAUUAUACGAUUAUGAUAUGAGCAUUUGUAUCAGCAAGUUUUGAUAUGGGAGAAUUAUUUGUUAAGAGUUAUUUCAGGUAAUUACAAAUUAUUAUGAUUUUGGAAUUGAGGAUUUUAUUUGGGUUAGAUUCUGAUUUUUGUUAAGUUGUGAAUAAUUUGAGGUAUGUGAAUCGGUGGGAUAAUAUGAUAAAGUGAAAACUAUUAAGUACAAAGGAUCUCUUGUAAUUUUGAGUUGUUGUAAAGAUUCGAGGUAAUUAGAUUAAUUUUUUGGAGUAAAUGAAUUUUGCGAUUAUUUCCUAGUAGAAUAUUGGAGUUAUCUUAUAUGAAAUUUUGAGUGAUAGUAUGAGGAGAUUUUGGAAUUUGUUGGGUUAAGGUUUGCACUAAGAGAAUGAUUGAUUUAUUAAAUGAUUAGAUAUUAAGUGAUGAAUCUUUAAGAGAUUUUGAAAGCUAUCGUUUGUUUAUUCAGAUAGUAGGAUAUAUGAUUUGGAGUUUGGUAUGGUGAUGGAGAGAUCUUAGUAGUAGUAUAUUUUUGGUGUAAUAAUAUUUGAGAACUAAUUUGAUUGGAGGUUAUGAUAUUUUGAAACUCUUAAGGACUUAGGAAAGUUGGUGAUAAAGAGAUAUUAGUAGUAUAUUCUUUGGUGUAAUAUUAUUUGGUGAAUAGUUCAAAUUAAGGAUGAGAUAUUUUGAAGCUCUUGAGGACUUGGGGAGAGUUGGUAAUAUGGUUUGCAUAGUUGUUUUGGUUAUCUGAUGUCUUUAGAGUUUUGCGUGAAUUUAUGUAAAAUUAAAUAAAAAUAAUUUGUUAGAUCUUUGUCAUGUGUGGAAUAUAAACAUUUUAACGAGUUAAAAAUAAUUUUAAAUAUUUUGGUUAUUUGAAUCGUAUUUAGAUGAAGAAAAAUGUUUGUGAUUUCGAAUUAUGUUCCGAAGAGUACGUACGCUUGCAAGAAUGAAACUCAAAGAUAUUAACGGGGGGCCCGCACCAACAGUGGAUCAUGUGAUUUAACGCGAAGAACCUUACCAAGACUUGACACGGUAGCUGACGAAUCUUUUACAAGUACAUUGAUAAUUACGUGGACCGAUGACUUAUCCACGUUGAUCGUUACAAAUGGCGACGCUACGUCGUAACUAAAUUUAUUUAUUUUUUCUGUAGCUUAUUUGAAUUCCGAGGACGGAAUUAUUUUUAAGGGGUGAAAAAUGUAAUAACCUUUUUUUUUAUAUAAUUAAAUAUUAAUUAAUUUUAUCUUAUACAAUUGUGUUUAAAUGGGAAAAGGUAAAUGAUUUUGUUUCCUUCUUUUCUUCCUUGUUUUGUUUGGAAAAUUAAAUUCUUUUAGUAGAUAAUUAAAUAACUGAUUAAAUUAAAAUUUGAGGAAGAUAAUUCCUUUUGUUAAAGUCUUGUGGUAAAAUUAUUCGGAGCGGGAAGCUACUUGGGAGAUAGAGGAGUCUAUUCGAGCGGAGUAUCUGCAUCUUUUUGAUAAUUAGGUAUUUUUCAUUCUUUUGAUUCCGGGGACGGAAUCCUUUUUAAGGGGGAGGUAAUGUAAUAUCCCGAAAAAAAUAAUAAAAUAAUAUUAAAUUUAUAUUCUUAAAACAUAUUGUUUGGAACUUGUCAUUUAUUUGGGUCAAACUAGUUAUUUAAAUUAUGUGGGCUAAUAAAUAUUAAUAAGUGAUAGAUAAUAUUAUGUGGUUAAAAUUUGGGCCUUAAUAUUAAUUUAACCCAAAUAGAAGUUUAUUAGGGCAAACCUAAUUAAUAAAUAGCUAAACCUAAUAUUACUUCAUUAUACAAACUGAAUAAGAAGAGGUGGCUACUUUGGAGAUAAAGGGAACAGCUACAAAGGGGGCUCAGGUGAAGAAAGACUAGAGAUUUUGAUCACUAGUGGGGAAAUUUCAUCAGUAAUAAGUAAGUAUAUUAUACAUUAUAUAAAGUGGGGAUAAAUCACGUGGUUCCAUAUUAAAUUAUUAAAUUUAGUAUGUUUUUUUUUUCAUCAUGAGCAAGUACUUUUGUAAUUCAAGAACUAAGAGCGAUCUUUAAAGAUGGGAGAGUUUAUUUAUUAAUGUAAUACUUAUACGGAUGUACUUAUUAUUAUUAUCACUUUAUUCCAAUCAGAUUGAACGGAGGGAGUAGUCUGUGAUUGAUUUUGGAGAUCCUAAAAUAAUAAAUUGAUGAUUUUUUUAAAUAAAAAUAUAUAUAUAGCAGUAGUAAUUAAAGUUUACGAAAACUUGCAUAAUUUGCAAGAGAUGUUAUACAAAUAAAUAUGUAAGAUUAUAUGGAAUGAAUUAAAUCUUAAUAUUAUAAGUAAUUAUAUUUUAUAGUCGUACCAAAUAGAAGUGUUCAUAUUUUUAUAAAUGUACUUACAUUUAGUAUUAUUAAUUUGUGUAAUUAGUUCGGACGGAAGGAACUUAAAGAGUUAUAUUUGGAAUAUAAAUUUUGGAGUAUUAAUAAUUGAUAUAAGACGAUGAUUAAAGGCAUAUUAAAUAGAUUAUGAAUUAUUUUGGAAUUAUUGAAUUGGAUUAUAUUUAAUUUGAGGUGAAUAUGUUUAGGUGAUGAAUAACGUUUCGUAUUUGAUAUCGUUGGCAUUUGAGGGUAAGAUUUUGUGGAGUGUGCUAUAAAUGGUUUGGAAGUAUCAGGUACGGAUUCCGUACUCUUUCAGCGAUACCUUUGUUAAAUUUGAUUUGUUCGUUUGUUUCCUUAUUUCGAAUUCUAUUAUGAUUUCACAUAAUUGUUUCUUGUGAAAUAAAUAUAUUAGUUUCAUUUUAGAGUUGAUACGUAUGACUCGUAUUUGUACUCUUUGAAUUAGGUUAUCAUGUUUAGUAUUAUUUAUUUUGAUAAUUGUAGAGCGGUACAUGUUGCUACCUUCCUUUUGAAACCUUGUGACUAUAAUUUGAUUCGGUUCAACAUGUACAUAUAGAACCCUUUUGUUGGUAUUAUGUCGCAUGUGUUGUGACAUGAUAUUUUUGUUAGAAUAUACCGUAGAGUAUACCUGAGUUAUAACCACCUGUGGGGGUACCACAGGCACGUCGUCUUGGCACGAGAGACGUGACACUUUCCGUGGCGGUGUGAUUAGUCCACGGCGUCUCCAUUUUGGGCUCCGGAGGAAGUGGGCCAUUUGGUGUUUUGUUGUGGGAGGCGUAUGGGUUAACCCUAGUUUUCUGUUCUGCGGAUUUGUGAUGUUGUGCCAAACACACCUAUCCGAUUUGCAUACAUUUGGAUUCGCGGUCCAAUGUGUGAUUUGCCUGUGUGGCAUUAUUUUGGUUGCCUGUGUGGCAUUAUUUUGACUUGCCUGUGUGGCAAUGUGUAUUUCUGAGCUCAUUCGGUAUAAAAUAACUCCAGCCAUUUGUUUCAGCCUAUUAUUUUAUUGGAUUAGUUUUGUUGGUUUCUGUUCAGUUCAAGUCAUUGAGUUAGUUACUUCAGUUUGUUAUUUCUUUAUUCUUUUAUUGGUUUCGUCAAUUACGUUGAUUCAGAUAUAUUUCAUUCAAAUAUUUGGAUAUUAUAUUUUCGUUCGUAUUUGCACUUGAGGCUUUGUUCAGUAUUUUGUCUCAGUUAUUUUCGUAUAUCAGUUGUAUAUCUUUUGUAUAUCUGUAUCCGUACUGGGCAAUUGGCUCAUGCUGUGUUUUUCUUCCGGCAGGUUUGCAGGGGUGAUUCAGGGCUAGUGUGAUGAGAUUUUUGCCUUUGACCAUUUAGGUUGAUUCGAAUUUUAAGUUUGGAUUAUUUUGACUCAAUUUGAGAAUUGUACUUAUUACUUUAUUAAUGAAUCACCACUAUUAAUAUUUUGAGGUUGUUAGUGCUCUGUUUAUUUAUUUUGAAAUUUGUUGUGCUUUGCACGUGACCUCUCUUUCCUUUUCGGGAAGGGGGUGUUACAAUCAUUACCAAACACAUUACCAAAAUUGCCUUGUGCUAACUGGAAUGAAACUACUGAUGAUACCUCUGAGAUGAUCAUCAUCUCGCUGAGAUUUUGCGAAGAUAAAACACAAAAUAUUAUUUUCUUGAUCAAUUUAAACACUUAAAAUCACUAUUUCCCUUAAAUAAUUGUAAAAAAAAUAUUUUAAAAACACCCAAAUUUGUGAGGUGUGUUUUUUUUUUUAUAAAAGAAUAAAUUUUAUUAAUAGAGAAGAAAUGAUGUAAUAAAAGGGGAACAAGAAAUACACCCUCAAUGGACUUAAAAAAACAUUUAAAAAAGUGAAAUCUUUCGAUCUCUGCACACCUCAGUAGAUAACUAACUCUAAAGACCCCCAUAGAAGACAAGGAAAAUAAUCCUAUCACUCAACAUCUUAAAAGAUGAGCAAUUUCCUCCACACAGUCUAGAACUCAUUCCAAAUUCUCCAUAAAAUAGUAUAUAUGUAAUUGUGAAACAUCAAUAAUAUAAAGGAAGGUUGAACUACUAUGCGAUUGAAGUACAAUUCCUUAAAUGAAAAUCGGUAAAUAAUUGCCAUUUGAAUUGAACCAAUAUGAGGAUGCUUAAAAAUCUUAUACAAAGGAAGAGACAAAUUUCUAGAAGACAUUAAUAUCUUGCAAACUACAAACGAUUAAUACGAGAGGGGAAAGAACAAAUGGAACCAAACAAAGAACUCACAAGAUUUACACCGUUCAGCGUAGACAAGCGACUUAGAAGAUGAAGAAGAUGUGAGGCAGCAAACAACUUGAAGAUGAAGAAAAUCUGAGUCGGCCGCCCCAAACUCGAAACCCUAGAAUUUCUCUCACCACUAACCCCUUUCACCCCUUUACUAU
rnacentral:lncRNA from 1 species